CAUGAUUUCUUAUCGACUAAAACUUUGUAUCCAAUAAUAGGUUACCAUUAGCUUAUAAAGAUUGAUUUCAAGAACCCCAAACUAGAACACUUUAAUCUUUUAAGUUAUGAACUGAAUUUGAUUACUUCAAGGGCGACGUGAGAAUGAGAUCAUUGAUGUUUACAUCAUUGGUUUCCUCUGUUAUAUAUAUGAAAAUCAUGUUGCUUUCCUGAUCUGUUUGAUCAUUUUUCUGUGGUUUUUGGUCUUUGUUGUCAGGGCUUAUCUAUCACCUCCAAAUUGGACCGACGGUACUCAUUCGUCUGGUUCAUCAUUGCUUUCGGAGGAGGCAGAUGAUAUUAAAGCCACUUUAGCACCAGAGCCUGCUGCCCAGGCGUUCAAAUUACUCAAUGAGAGUCCUGCAAUUCAGUCUAUUGUUGCGUCGAUUGCCGCCGAUCCAAAUGUAUGGAAUGCUGUACUGCACAGUCCGGCUUACAUCGACUUCAUCCGGUCGCAUAAGACCAAGUAUACAUUUGAAAAUAAUGGAUCCCCUUAGAUAUAUGAAUCUUCUUCGGUAAAGAUCGAAGAGCAUAUCGAUGCAAAUCAACCCCAAGGCAGGAAUCCAUUUUUGGAUUUUGUAGAGAAGUUCAAGACAAGUGUGGUUGAGAUGGCUAAUAAAGCAACUGACUUCCUGCAGAACCUCUUCACUUUACCCUAUGCUGAAACAGAGAAAGGAAGUGCUGGAUCGAACUAUCUCGAGAAGACGAUCGGAGCUAGCCUAAUGGGGUUGGCCGUGAUGGUUAUUAUGGUCGUGCUUCUUAAACGAGUCUAGAUUAAAAGUAUGAGAAUUUGUCGAUCUUACAAAACAACACGAAAUAUCGUCAUUUUUCACUUGGAUGCUUGUGGAAGACAAUG